AAAAAUUAAGUAUAUAGAAAGUAGAAAAAAAUAAUCUCUAGAAACUGAUGGCUUGUUAAUACACAAAAUCAAUAAAAGAUAUUACUGGAAACGCAAUUAAACAAGUCUUUUAUGGUAAUUAAUUUUAUACAUGAAAAUUUAACUUACUUUCAUUGUUGUGUAUGUAUAUAUUAGCUAACUUGAACUUGCAACUGGCAGUGAGCUCUCAAGAACCCACAGAAAAGACCUUUAAAAUUGAAUGGUGAUUAUUAUAACUUCGCUAGCAGUCCCACAGGAUCACCUCCAGUCGGGGUGGCGGUGGAUGGACGAAGGGGAAUAUCGAAAGAGCUUAAAGGUUAUGGUGGUGGU
rnacentral:lncRNA from 1 species